rnacentral:misc_RNA from 3 species
AACGCACCUUGCGCCCCUUGGUAUUCCGAGGGGUGCACCCGUUUGAGUGUCGUGAACACCCUCAACCUUCUUGGUUUAUCGACCGGGAAGGCUUGGACUUUGGAGGUUUUUGUUGCUGGCCUCGUUUGAAGCCAGCUCCUCCUAAACGAAUUAGUGGGGUCCGCCGUGCCGACCCUCGACGUGAUAAGUACGCUUCUACGUCUUGGGGUUUCGCACUGUCGCCUGCUUCCAACCGUCUUUGAAUGAAGACAAUCUUAUAGACCUUGACCUCAAAUCGGGUGAGACUACCCGCUGAACUUAA